AUUGCACUUUUGCCCCCUGAUCUUUCACCUUUGUGCGAUUUACCUCCAUUUUUUUAUUUUAUUUUUAUUUUUAUUUCUGAUAUGGGGGUGUGGUUAGUAAAAGGGAGGGUGAAAAUAGCAACCGCCGUUAGUAAUUGGACGGCUAACUAACGGAAGGGCCUAAAUCGCACAUAUUAAUAGAAGAGGGAGGGAAUUUCUGUUUUUUAUAGAGUUAUUUAAAAGUAAGGAUUUAAUUAUAAUUAUUUUUGAGUGUAAUAUUUUAUUUUUAAUUUUAAUAAUUUCUGUUUUUUAAUUAUCUCUCCCUUUUAUGAAGUGAUAACCUGCUCUAACAUGUCACCUUUGUUAUUUACUUGUGAUAACCUAUCAUAAAGGAUUAUCCUUUAUUCUUUUCUCACCUCAACCACCAAAUUAAUUCAUUCUUAUCUUUCCAACUCAACAUCUCUAUUUCCAACCACUCAUUCAAAUUUCAAAUUUCCACUAUAUCUUUCUCUCUCCACGUGGGCCCCACCCCACCAAUCAGAAUUCAAUGCUCCCUCUCCCCCAAUUCACUCUCAUUCACGCUCUCUCCCCUUCCACUCUCGACAUCUCCCUCUCACUUUCUUCUUCUUCUCCAUUUUUCUUCUCCUCCAUUUUCCUCUGCAACCCUAAGCCACACACUACCUCCUUCUCCUCUCAUGGCCGCCGCCACCCAAGGCCAAGCCGCCACCACAGCGAGCCUUCUCCUCUGCUCACGCGAACCACAACUUCCAUGCCUCUUCACCGCGAACGCACCACCACCAUAGGUGACCGCCGCCGCCUCUCCUCAGUUCUCCAGCAAGCAUGGCGGCCACAACCGCCAUCACCCACUCCCAGCGCCAUGAACGGCGCCACCAACGCAAGGACAAGAGAGAAAACGAAACCCUAAAAACCGCCACCUUCCAACUCCGAUCUCCGGCGAACCAAUGAGUUUUUGGAGAAAGCAACCACACCAUGGAACUCCCCUCGACAUGCGUUGCAAAACCCCUUAAGAAAUUUCUGAUUCCGACAACCUUCGCCGGGAACCGCCGCCGGCCACCGUGACCACCGUCUUCUCCGACUAACCUUCGCCGGAGAUGUCACUGAACUCAGAACCAGGAAGCUCUCCUCCUCCUCUUGCUGAAUUGAUUAUCAAUUUUGGAGCUUGACGGUCCUCAGAGGAAGGCAGAAGCUGCUGUUAGAGAGGAUGAAGAAGCAAUACAGAACCUUAGCCAUGAGGCUUAAGGUAGAAAAGGAUAUAUUUUUCUGUUUUGGGUAUCGUUUUAAUUCUUGUAGGGGCUGAAAAUGUUUUUGAAAAUGUAAGGGCAUUGGAGAUGGUUAAUCUCUAGUUAGUUCUGUUGUUUAUGUUUUGAUUACCUCUGGAUGAGCAUGGGUUCGAUAUUAGAUUAGGAGAAGUUUAUGCUGCUGUUGUCUUGUGAUUGUAGUAGCCUCUGUUCUGCCAAAUUCGUGUGUUUCGGUUCAGAUUUUCGGACUGUGUUCUUCAUAAAAAUUGUAGCAUUUUCUGUUAGCAAACUUUUGCCACUGGUUUCAUGUAAUUUCGAUUUCUCUAGCUCAAGUUAUAUGCAUUUUAGUGGGCACGGGUUAAGCUGUCCUGUUUCUCA